rnacentral:rRNA from 1 species
UACGGGGGGGGCAAGCGUUGUUCGGAAUUACUGGGCGUAAAGGGCUCGUAGGCGGCCAACUAAGUCCGACGUGAAAUCCCCAGGCUUAACCUGGGAACUGCGUCGGAUACUGGAUGGCUUGAAUCCGGGAGAGGGAUGCGGAAUUCCAGGUGUAGCGGUGAAAUGCGUAGAUAUCGUAAGGAAGACCAGUGGCGAAGGCGGGUCUCUGGACAGUUCCUGACGCUGAGGCACGAAGGUCAGGGGAGCAAACGGG